ACAGGUCAGCUCUAUUCACUGACAGAGGGAACAACAAGGGCAUGAACCCCAGGAGGCAAGGAUGACAGGAGCCAUCUUGAAGGCUGGCGACCACAGAUCCACACCUAACUCCAAACCACCAAAUUACUCGGAGUGUGUGUGGGCCUGCCCACAGUGCGGUGAGCCCAUGUGACUAGACCCCGGACGAUGGACUAAGAGGGAAGAGGACGUGCUUAAGUUCUGGGCUGAGGCCUUAAGAACCCAUGCACUCUUCUCCUGUUACUUUUCCCUGCGGCAACAAGCAAGGAGUCCUCAUUCCAGGGAGUGUGACCGCAUCGUGGUGCUACUUCCCUUCCCUUGGCCUCGACUGCCAAGGAACCACAGGAGGAACUGGCUUGGGAAGUCCCCUGGCAUCAGAGUAAACUUUGUGUGAGCGAAAAAUAAACCUUUAUAUUAUUAGGCCA